rnacentral:hammerhead_ribozyme from 1 species
AUCCAACUGACGAGUCCCAAACAGGACGAAACGCGCGUUAAACUGGAC